ACAAAGACAAGCCACAAGCAACCACGGUUUCGGCCCGUGCCAAGGGUCUCUAGCCCUCUUUGUU
rnacentral:tRNA from 1 species